UUUCUCUUGAAUUGAUUUUGUGUAAACGUAUUGUGGGAUUUCAUAUCUAUUGACGCCACUUUAUUCAAUUUAAAUGUACUAUUGUGUUUAGCAUCUUAGCUAAUUUUUGAAGCUGCCAUAAGUGUAAGUUUAUAAAGGCCUGUAGAAAGUGAAAUUCGCUAUGAGUAACUACGACGAUGAACAAAGUGAGGAUGGAGAAUUAGCGCGGAGUCCUGUCCAAGACGAAAUGGAUUUUAGUUUAUCUGAUGAAGAUCGUGAUAAUGCAGACUCUCUGGUCAUCAAACCACCACAGGUUGUGGUUCGUGUAUCACACAGGGACAAAAGGAGUCACAAAAGGUCUGGCAAAGAUAGAUUUAAGGAAACCUCCCGAAAGGAUAAAAAACUCAUGUAUAAUAGAGAAAGGGAGAAACCUGAAAAAAAUAGAAGAGAACUUAAUAGGAACCCUGAACGUGAAGAAAUGUCCAAAGAAUACUAUAGAGAAAAGCAAUACUACAGGGAAAACAGAGACAAAGAUGUAUAUAGGGAUAAAGAUCCCUACAAAGAUACAAAGGAGAAAGAAAUGUAUCGUGGGGAAAUGAGAGAAAAGGAGAUGUAUAGAGAUAAAGAAAUUUAUAGAGAGAGAAGAGAAGAUCACCAUAGAGAAAGAGAAAUGUAUAGAGAAUCUUAUAGAGAACAAGUUAGGUCUAGAGAGUCCUAUAGAGAAAUGCAAAGGGAACGCGAAAUGUACACAAGCCGUCAAAACAAGUAUGCAGACCCGGAACGAAAACGCCAAGAUCCUGAAAGACAAGAAAGAAUAGAAUCAAGAUUGAGAUUAUUGGCUGAGGACAGUAACACUAAUCAUAAUAAUGAAAAAGAAAAUAGGGACAAAACAUCAGGUGACAAAGAAUUGGAAGAUUUGAGAAGUAGAUUACUUAGUAAACGAAUAUCCAAGGAACUUCAAGGUCAAGAUGGAAAAAAAAUGGAUUAUUCUGAUAAACCUGGAGAUAGACAUUCAGAUAGAACACUAGAUAAGCAUCAUCAAGCAAGAAGAAACAGAUUAAUUGAAGCAGAACGUGAAAUGGAGAGGAGAAAAUAUGAAUCUAGAAAUGAACUGGAAAUGAGGCGUGAAGACAGACGCCGUCGAGGCAAGAAACGCUCCGCAACUCCUGAAGAGACAUCUAACAAAAAAAGUAGAACCCAACAGUCACCUAACACAAAGUAUGAAGAAGAAGUAGUGACAUUAUUGUCAGAAAGUGAUGCUGAAGAUAGGAAGAGUGUCUCACCCAAUUCAGAACCUGAAGAAGGUGAACAUUCAAACACUGAAAGUGAUGAUGAUAGUACAAGUACAUCCUCAGAUUCUGAAAUUGAUUCAAAGUCAGAGGAGGAGGAGGAGGAGGAGGAGGAAGAGAAAAUACCAGAAGAUAAACCUGAAAAACCUGCUGAAGAGAAAGUUGUAGAGAAACCUAGACCAAAAUCAAAAUCCAAAUCUCCUACCCCAAAAUUGCAACAGGCCAGCCCUUCUUCCAAUGAGUCUAGAAGGUCACAUUCCAGAUCCAGAAGUAGAAGUAGAUCGCAUUCCUUUUCCCCUCCACCUCUUGGUGAAAAUGGUAAAACUACUGAGGAAGAGAAACCUAAAGAAGAUGACGAAAAAGCCAGACAAAGGGAGGAGGCUAUCAAUGCCCUCCCACCAUAUUUUCCAGCACUACAGGGCUGUCGGUCAGUUGAGGAGUUUCAAUGUCUCAAUAGAAUUGAGGAGGGCACCUACGGAGUUGUUUACAGAGCUCGCGACAAGACCACUGAAGAGAUUGUCGCUCUGAAACGUCUCAAAAUGGAGAAGGAAAAAGAAGGAUUCCCUAUCACAUCACUAAGAGAGAUCAAUACAUUGCUCAAGGCCCGGCACCUCUUACCUGCAAGAGGGUUGUGCUAGAGGUGUGACCCAAUUGCAAGGGUUAACAACUUCGAUACACGGGCGGGCCUAAGUAUCUUAUAAGGAAUUUAUUCCAGGGGACACACCCUCCAAUGCUAACUCCUUCUUGCAUAUUUCAUCCAACUCAGCAUUUAGCAAAAAGUAAUUUUCAAAGAUGACCUUUCUAUGAAUACGAACUUUGAAGAAUAUUUGAGAUCGAGAUACAACAUUAUUAUACUACAUAUAACCAACCUACCUACUGUAAGUCAAGAACACCAUUAAUGCUAAAGCACCUCAUUCCAGGGUACUGACCAAAGGCAAGCCAUAUGAUCAAGGGGAGCAAACAAAAGGUAGAAGCUGCCAUUCACUUAAAUCUACUGACUCCAAGUGAGGAGAGUAAAAUGAACACCUACCAUAAAUUGAGCAUGUUCUAUGUAAGUUACAGAUAAGUGGGAUACACCAGAAUUCAUAUAAUUACCAAGUUCCUAUUCAUUUGGAGAAUCAAGUCAAGAAAAGGGAGUCAAGAAAAUAUUGCAUGACGCGUUAUCGAAUAAUUUCUUUUCAAACAUUGAUAACUCGCUGCGACUAAGCAUAUUGUAAAUAGAGGCAAAACUUGAAAGGAAAACAAUAUUUUACGAUGCAGAAUUAGAAUCUAAACUCAGUUCUUAUUUGUCGUCAAUAUGGCGUAUUCGUCGCAUUGUGACCCAAUCACAUAUACUAGUUUAAUGUACCUUUAAACAUAUGGAAAUCUAACAUAGAUAUAAAUAUAAAGAUGAUACUCUUUAUACUUACGUAACAAAAAUGACUAAUAUUGCAUUUUUAGUGUUUACCUUAAUAGGUUUCCUUCCUUGUUCUGCAUUGAGGACAUCGUUGAUGUUCUCUCAUCAGCGUAUGAUGUGUGAAAUGUUGUCCCGUUAUUCAUGGUUGGCUCGUCCAAUGAUAUGGUACCAAUUAACUUGCGGACAUCGAUCCUCUAUCGUAAGACCUUCUGUCUGUCUGGACACUUAUCAUUGAGAUGAUGUCUCUACCCCACCCAAUAACAAAAAGAAAUCAAAGGUUACAAGUCUGGAAAUGACGAUUAGUUUUGCGUCAUAUUUAUCGUCUAACAGAUUUAUUGCGCAAGAUGCGUAACUACUUUCGCUCUUCUUUGAGUGUAACUCCUAUGAGUAUAACGCUUCAGCCCAUUGUGCUGCUAUGCAAAACCGUAGACUACUGUGUUCUGUUUUUAAAACAUGUUAUUAGGUUUUAUUAGCAAAAUUCCAAACGUUAACAUCAUUUAGUCAAUCACGACGUCGUCGUGUGUACGUUGAUUUCAACCGAGCUAUCAUCUAAAAUGCUUGAUAUCAAAUUUGAAAGGUUUUACUCUUACUAGAAGGGAAGGAUAUCUCAUUAUAUCGUUUAUACGAUAUUGUUUUUGAAAAAAGUUUGACUAACAAUGUUUGGUGCUAUGUUCUCCAGGUCUCCGUCACCUCGAGAGACGAGUCUAAUUUAAUUACUCUCAAUUUUUUUAUACCAACUGUUUAAGGAGAUAACCGCGCGUUAAAAUUCGCAUUUUUUCGUUUCUAUUAC